GUUGAAACGCCGGUUCUCGUCCGAUUACCGAAGUUAAGCAAGGUCGAGCCUGGUCAAUACCUAGAUGAGUGUCGCCUUGGGAAUACCAG